rnacentral:lncRNA from 1 species
GGUGAACCUUUUCUUCUUGGGGUCUAGAAAUCUGCUUAUCUCCCCAUAGUCACCGGAAAUGACUUUGAUUCCCAUAAGGCACUUGAUGAAUUGAUCGAUCUCCUUCAGACUUAAGGUGAAGCAAUAAGGGGGUAAUAAUUCUCCUCCUUGUUGACUUUUUUGUCCCUUUCCCCCUCCUCUGUCUUGGUCUCUGUCUCCUCCAUCGACUUUUUACGGUGGAUGUCUUUCCUGAUCUUCAAAUCUUCCAAGUCUUUCCUUGCCUUCG